AAAGAUCCCAUGCCACUUUUUGCAAGAGAUAAGUGUCUGUAUCCUGACUCGAUUCCAGUUUGGGUAAUAACAUUCAACCUUCCCAAAUUCCCAUUGAAAUUUCAAUGGCAUAUGGUGUUGUUCUGCUCCUCAGCCGUUGUGUAGCAUUGCUGUUGAUUGUUAAGACCCAGCUGUGAGACAACCCAGAGGCAGCUGGAAGUAGGGGAUGAAGUGACUCCUGAAUGUACAUCUGCAUACCAGGUAUCUGCAUUCAGAAGCUGGCCUUGAGUACCAGCUGCAGCAAGAGAAUGACAGCUGGCUGGAUUUUUGAGAGCUUUUAAUAAGAGAAGCUGCCCCUUUUAAUACCAUCUUCCACCCAUUUAAAGCUGCAGGGAAGGUAAUUAGAUGAAUAAAGGCUGUUACUUCUAAAGGAUGAUCUCUCUCUUUGUGAAGUGCUGAUAUGUUCCCCUAUGAGAGGUGAGGUGCAACAUGAAUGUAGCUUGCUACUGAUCAAUGCUGGCCUGUUCUUAUGACAUAGCAUGUUCUCUGUUCCCUGUCCCGUUGCAGGUGGCGAUCACACAAUAACAUACCCGAUCCUGCAGGCAGUGGCAGAAAAGCAUGGUCCCGUGGGACUGGUUCACGUGGAUGCUCAUACCGACACAGGAGACAUAGCGCUGGGGGAGAAGAUCUAACAUGGGACGCCAUUCCGACGCUGCGUGGAGGAGGGGCUCCUGGAUUGCAAACGCGUGGUUCAGAUCGGAAUCAGAGGCUCCUCCUACACCCCGGAUCCCUACAAAUACUGCCGGGACCAGGUAGUGUAUACCGUCGCCAAAACCUUCUCUACUCUCCGCCGGGCCCUGCCUGUGCAGACAGGGCCAAAUGGCCAUUGAUUUCAGUGCUGGGAAUAACAAUAUGUCCCUCUUCUUCCUGAGACGGCUGUUGUGAGGCUUGCUGAGUGUGUGUGACGUCUUUUGAGAUCCUCAGACAAAAGGUGCAAGAUGAUAUUGUUCAUUAACUGACGCCGUUGCAUGGAACGCUUCUCCCACUCCAAUCCCUGCAACUAAGAUGUGUAAGGCAGGAAAAAAACCAGCCACUGCCAUUCUUUUCGGUUAUUGUCCCCUUCCUCCUCCUUUUGCACCAGACGGCAAGGGAAAGGCUCCCCUGCCCCCUCAUUGCUCUCUUGCCGGUGCUGUUUCCAGCCACACAUGCCCUUGAACAGCUUCACCUGUGGAGAAAGCGCUACUUGGCAGGGCAGGUGGAGACCAUAGUCUGUCCUACGUGGGGGG
rnacentral:lncRNA from 1 species